CCCUUCCUCCAAAGCUGAGAUCCUAGAACUUGUGGGCUUUCUUCACUUGUGGAUAGCCAAUUUCAGUCUAGUUGCUAAACUCCUGUAUGAGGCUUUCAAGGGAGACUGAAAUGAACCUAUAGAUGACACAUCCAUCAAGAGACCCUUUCUCAAACUUCAGGCUGCUAUCCUCUCUGCCCCAGCACUAGCUUUUCCAGAUCUCCAAAAACCAUUCACCCUCUAUGUCACCGAAUGAGUGGGACUGGCAUUGGGGGUCUUGGGACAAAACAUUGGGUCACAUUUUGUCCUGGUUGCUUACCUAUCUAAGCAACUCAACCACACUGUCCGGGGCUCGUCCACAUGUUUACAUGCCUUGGCAGCCACCUCUGUCCUAGCCAAAGAGGGCUUUAAACUAACUUUUGGUCAACCAAUGCUAAUAAAGUCACCCCAUCACUUGCAGGACUUACUCACUCACUAUAGCCUUUCACAUCUGUCCCUCUCUCAGCUACAACUCUUCCAUGCUACUUUCAUAGAAAACCCAUCCUUUUCUCUUCAGUCCUGCCCCUCUCUUAACCCAGCCACUCUCCUCCCCGAGGCCUUUCAGACACUCUCCCACUCGAGCACAGAAACAAAUUCUCCCUUCCUAAUGUCUCCUCAGAGGCCAUCCCAGAUCCAGAAUUCACAUGAUUCAUUGAUGGUGGCUUGAUUCCCACCCAUGUGCCUGGCCAGAAGAGGUCAGGAUAUGCCAUAGUUUCUUUUACACAGACAAUUGAGUCUAACACACUCCCACACAAUACUACCUCCCAACAAGCAGAAUUAAUUGCUCUCAUUUGAGCUCUUACCUUGGCCCACAACAGGCAGGGAAACAUUUAUGCUCAUUCCAACUAUGCAUACCGCAUCCUACAUUCUCAUAAUUCCAUAUGAAGAGAAAGAGGCUUUAUGACCACAAAGGGAACCCCCAUCGUGAAAGGGAGUCUGAUACAGGCCCUUCUCUAAGCAUCCACCCUUCCAACACAAACGGGAGUCAUUCACUGUAAGGUACAUCAAUCUUCCUCUUCUCCCAUAGCUCAGGGAAACAAUAGGGUCAAUCAAACUGCCCACAAAAUGGCACAAAAUCUUACUCCCCAAAACUAAAACCAAAUGCUAAUCAUUCCACCUCUAAAACCUAGCUACACCCCUCAGGAAAAGGCCAAUUACAUAGAAAAAGGCUCUGCACUGAGGGAUGAUUGGCUUCUGUAUCAGGGAUGUCAUGUCGUACCCGAUGAUCAUAUAAUACCUCUUCUCACUGACCUACAUAACUCACUCCACAUAGGGACUCAACCCCUCCUGCACCUUCUCAGGACUUUUCUAUACCACCAGUCUCUGACAACACACACACAGACAAUAAAGCAGGCUUGCUCCAUCUGCUCAGCUACCAGUACCCAAAGUGGCCUUCAGACACAUACAGAAACUCACUAGUCCCAGGGACAACUACCAGGGGAAGAUAGCAAAUUGAUUUUACUCACAUCCCCCCUAUCAAAAAGGGCAAAUAUCUUCUGACCCUGGUACAUACCAUCACAGGGUGGAUAGAGGCAUUUCCAUUUACAUCAGAAGGAGCAGCCUCUGUAAUUCAUAUACUCCUAACUGAGAUCAUUCCUCAAUUUGGGCUCCCACGAUCCAUCCAGUCCAAUAAUGGACCUGUCUUUGUUUCCCAGAUCACCCAACAGGUAACAGAAGCACUCAACAUACAAUGGAGCCCAGCCCAGAGGAAGGGGAUUCCUGGCCACCAUCCAUCUCACCACUCCUGGCCCAGAGGAAGGGACUUCCGGACCCCAUCCAUCCUGCCACUCCCAGCCUGGAGGUAGGAGCUUCUGAGCAACCAUCCAUCCCACCCCUCCUGGCCCAGAGGAAGGGGCUUCAAGUCACCGUCCAUCCUGCCACCUGUGGCCCAGAGUUAGGGGCUUCUGAGCCACAUCCCACCUUUCCCAUCUUAGAGGAAGGGGCUUCCAUGCUGUUGUCCUGUCACACUGAUCCCAGCCCAGAGGAAGGGACUUCUGAGCUGCUGUCCCACUGCACCUGGCCCAGAGGAAGGGGUUUCCAGGCUGCUGUCCAUCCCACCACUCCUAGGCCAGAGGUAGGGGCUUCUGGGCCGCCAUCUGUCCCACUGUUCAUGGCCCAGAGGAAGGGGCUUCUGAGCUGCUGUCCCACCUCUACCAGCUCAGAGGUGAGCCACGCAGGUGCCAACAACAGGCCCCCCCACACCAGGUUGAAAAGAAAAGACAUGUAAAUAAGUCUGAAAACCAGACUUCCAGAUCACCUACAGCAACCUCAAAGGGAAAUGAGAUGGAGCACUCUGAUAUUCAACCACCUGGACCCACUGAACUGGCAACAAAAGAGGAUCUGGAAAAAAUGAAAUUGGAAAUAAUUUCUCAGAUAACAGCAGAGAUUGGGUUCAUAGUACAAGACAUGAUUAAUAAAUCUAGAGAGGAGCUGAGGAUCAUGAUGGAAACCCAACAUAGGAAACAAAUGGAAUCCAUAAAAUGGAUGCAAAUAGAUUUCCAGGAGAUCAAAAACUCCACUGAAUGUCUACACAGCAGAAUGAACCAAUGUGAGGACAGAG
ensembl:lncRNA